CGGACGGGUGAGUAACGCGUGGGUAACCUGCCUCAUACAGGGGGAUAACAGUUAGAAAUGACUGCUAAUACCGCAUAAGACCACAGCACUGCAUGGUGCAGUGGUAAAAACUCCGGUGGUAUGAGAUGGACCCGCGUCUGAUUAGCCAGUUGGCAGGGUAACGGCCUACCAAAGCGACGAUCAGUAGCCGGCCUGAGAGGGUGAACGGCCACAUUGGGACUGAGACACGGCCCAAACUCCUACGGGAGGCAGCAG
rnacentral:rRNA from 1 species